AACGAACGCUGGCGGCAUGCCUAACACAUGCAAGUCGAACGAGACCUUCGGGUCUAGUGGCGCACGGGUGCGUAACGCGUGGGAAUCUGCCCCUCGGUUCGGAAUAACACAGAGAAAUUUGUGCUAAUACCGGAUAAUGACUUCGGUCCAAAGAUUUAUCGCCGAGGGAUGAGCCCGCGUAAGAUUAGCUUGUUGGUGGGGUAAUGGCCUACCAAGGCGACGAUCUUUAGCUGGUCUGAGAGGAUGAUCAGCCACACUGGAACUGAGACACGGCCCAGACUCCUGCGGGAGGCAGCAGUGGGGAAUUUUGGACAAUGGGCGAAAGCCUGAUCCAGCGAUGCCGCGUGGGUGAAGAAGGCCUGCGGGUUGUAAAGCUCUUUCGGCCGGGAAGAAAUCGUGUUCUCUAACAUAGGACAUGGAUGACGGUACCGGACUAAGAAGCACCGGCUAACUACGUG
rnacentral:rRNA from 1 species